AUUACCCCAGUAUAACUGCAAACAUACUAGGGGGUUGUACCAGUAUAAGAAUCACACCCCUAACUGACAGUUACUCUACUACCAAAUCUGUGCAUAGAUCAGGGCGCAGCAUCGACUGCAAUAGGUGGAACUCCGAGAGAGGCACGCUCAUCUUCUGCAUGACUGGGAUGCAGCUAGGGUUGGGUUUUAAUAUUACUUUGCCAGUCAACAUCCCCCUCUUCUAGCCUGGCAGAGAGCUCCUCUCCCUUAGUGUGGGUCCAGAAGCUUUAGCUCAGGUUGCAGGGGCACAGGCUUCAGGGCCAGGCAGGAUGUAAAGGAAGUGGGAGGGUCUGUGUCCCCGCAGCACGACCCCUUUACCUCGAUGCAUUAGGCAAAGAGAGGAGCUAGGGCCGGCCCAGGGGGUGGGGGGUGUCUGCGUCUCCGCCGGGAAAGAGGCGCAGUGCCCGGCUCUGGGAAAGGAGAAAGGGUCGCGACGACUGUGAUGAACUGGAGAGCGGGCUGCAGAUGGUGAGCUCCCGGGCAGGGCACACGGGAUGGCGUCCCAGCCCCAAGGUAAGUCUUAGGAGUGGAGUCCCUUCUAUUGUGCAGGAGGACAUGUCGGACCUGUUCUGAGCAGGCUAAUUCGUGGGAUUGAAACCUUGAAAGAACACCACCAUCAGAUGGAGUUUCCAGAGCUGCAGAUGAAGAAGAAGCUGACCGUAGUUCUGGGAGAAGAGAUGUGGUCUGUCGGGGAGAGUACGGGGAGGAUGGAUGGACAUGCGUAGCAGGGAAGAAGAUCAGCACUGCUCCAAGUCCCGUCUUCGGCCGAGGGCGGUAGAGAAGGAACUGAGGAGGGUGCGGGACGCACGCGCUCAGGAAGAUUCCAACGAGACGGGAGAUACCAACUGAGUGCGUGCAUGCGUCCCAACCAGGCACUGCUACCGAAAAUCUCCGAUC